AGAUUGAACGCUGGCGGCGUGCUUAACACAUGCAAGUCGAGCGGUAACGCGGGAGCAAUCCUGGCGACGAGCGGCGAACGGGUGAGUAAUGCUUGGGAAUCUGCCCAUUAGUGGGGAACAACCAGCCGAAAGGUUGGCUAAUACCGCAUACGCCCUACGGGGGAAAGCGGGGGCUCGUAAGACCUCGCGCUAAUGGAUGAGCCCAAGUCGGAUUAGCUUGUUGGUAGGGUAACGGCCUACCAAGGCGACAAUCCGUAGCUGGUCUGAGAGGAUGACCAGCAUCACUGGGACUGAGACACGGCCCAGACUCCUACGGGAGGCAGCAGUGGGGAAUAUUGGACAAUGGGCGAAAGCCUGAUCCAGCCAUGCCGCGUGAGUGAUGAAGGCCUUAGGGUUGUAAAGCUCUUUCAGUGGGAAGAUAAUGACGGUACCCACAGAAGAAGCCCGGCUAACUUCGUGCCAGCAGCCGC
rnacentral:rRNA from 1 species